GUAGCCGCUGAGCUAUUGAAGAGCCAGGCAACGUAUUGAGCUGCUAAAGAACUAGGCAGUCACUGAAGAACCAGGCGACGUUCUACACCAAUCUGCCAACCUUCAUUUGUCUCCGAGAAUUACAGGGAUUUGACUGGCACUUCUUGGUCGCUCAUAAACUUCAUCAGCUUUUACUUAAUUACUUUUUUGUUGCUACUGAAUUUGAGGGGGAUGACAGCGGAACAGAUGAGAUAAAACUAUAAUGGUGACAUAACACACAACAAUAAUUCAAGAUGGAAUAGUUAUAAAUCGAUGGGUCCCAUUUACAGUUGCAUGAAGCAACAAUUAUAAAAAACAAGAGUAUCAAUGAAAAACAUGAUAAACAAUUGUGGCAUUCAAGAUGGAUGUUAUCCAUGCAAGAAGGCCAGUUCUUUUGUCAAGGGAUAUGGAUUUUGCAUGACCUUCAGGGAUCCAAAUGGAGCCGUUCAAUGGCUUCAUUGGCUGUUAAAUUGGAAGGAAACUUUAUUUGCAACAGUUUGCAAGAGGUAUAAGACUUUUGGUUUGUGUAUGUGUAACUAUAAGAGGAACAAGAAAAGAAAACGGGACUGCAUUUUUAAUGUCAUUGAUGGGGGAUUUUUCUAUAGAUUUAGAGCUUGACUAGGAUUUGAUUUGUGAAUUUGUCUUGCAAAUAUUGGAUCACAGAAUCUGUAUUUUCAAGGGGAACAAUGAUACAGAAUAAAAUGAGGAAUCACAAAUGACCCAAUGUUCACGGAAGGCAUCUAUGAUUGUGAUUGGUUUUGAUCAAGGAAUAUACUAAUAAUAUGGAGCAAUAUUCAUGGUUUAUUUUUUGUGUAUCUUGCUAUGUUUUUGUUUUUCAUUUUUGAAGUAAAAGAUGUUCAUGAUUAUGGAACUUUAUUAUGUAUGCUUUCAAACAUAAGUUAGAACUAAGGUUUGAAUUAGUUCUUGUUUAAUGUAAUACUUAUGGUUUAUCAAUCUA